ensembl:lncRNA
GCUUCUAACAACAAGGCAGGCUAUUUGCACUUAGUGUAAAUAGACUUCUUUUAACAUUAUAUCAAAUGUUGCAACGGCUGCCAUGAGGCUUAUGCUGUCACGGUUCAUGAAUGCACCGUCUCCUGCUGGUUUGUUGUGACGUCAUGUUAAUUGUUUUCAUGUGGGUGUUACCGCUGAUCGGCUGAUCAGCGGCAGGUGCGGCUCGUUACAUCAGCCUAUAUAAUGCCUGGUCUUUCGUCUCUUGUUUGUCAGAUCGUUGUGUGUGAGGUCCGCGUGGUGUAUGUCUACUCGUUGUUCGGCGUUCCUGCCUCUUGCUCUGUUUCCUGUUCGGUCGUCACUGGAUUACAACCUUGUUUACGGAUAUCUCGCCUUCACCCACUCCACCAACGCACUCAAGGGGAGUGUUUGUUCCUCACCAUCUCCACCAACGCACUCAAGGGAAUCGUCGGGUCUUCACCAGUUCUAUCAGCGCACUCAAGGGAAUCUACUCACCUGUCUGUGCUGCCAUCAAAGUCCCUGCGUCAUUCUCCAGGAGCCUGUCAUCAUCUCAUAGUGUCAAUAAACAUCAUUAUUACUCGCAGUUGCCUCCUGUCCUUUAUCACGCCGUGACAUAUGCAUGUUCGUUUGUAAAUAAAGGCUAACAAAAUUUAAUCCACAGCACACACGUCUCAACAUUACGAUAUAAAACAGGACAAAAGCCUAUUUAAGUCCUCUCUGUAUAGCCUUCCACUUUUACACAUGCUCCAGCUACAUUUUUAUUUCCAUACUUUUUAAUUAUUUCUGUAUAAAACAGUUUAAAAUCACCCAAAGACGCAGGACCUUUAUUAUACAACUCUUAGACAAAAUUGCGGAUGACAAGAGUUUCCAAGCUAGUAUUGGUUAAGUAAAAUGUUUAAGGCGGGGCUCAACAAAGGUGUAUUUGCAUGCACAUUGUAGAUAUCUACAAACAUAUUUUGACUAGUCAAAUUGUUAAUUCCAGAUAUCUACAUUGCAACUACGCCUCACAAUGCUAAAUGCAUAUAUCUCCAAACCUAGUUCUUCCUAGUAAAAAAUCUGAUUGGGAUAUCCAUAAUUAAAUUGCAGAUAUCUUUAAAUGGGUUUUGACUAGUCAUAAUUCCAAUUCAAGAUAUCUUUAAAUAUGAUUUGCCUAGCCAAAAUUCCAGUUCAAGAUAUCUACAACUGUAAUUUGACUAGUCAUAAAUGAAUUACAGAUAUCUACAAAUGUAUUUUGGAUAUCUUUAAAAAUGUUGAAUUAAAGAUAUCUUAAAUUGUAUUUUGACUAGUCAAAUCAUAUUUAAAGAUAUCUUGAAUUGGGUUUACAACUCGUCAAAACUCAUUUGAAGAUAUCGCUAAUUGAAUUGUCACUAGUCAAAUUGUAAUCUGAGAUAUCUCUAAUUAGAAUUUUGAAUAGGCAAAUCAUAUUUAAAGAUAUUUUGAAUUGGAAUUACGUCUAGUCAAAACUCAAUUGAAGAUAUCCGAAAAUAUUUUUCAAUGGAAGUCAAUGGAAGAUUAUGACUAGUCAUAAUCACAUUGUAGAUAUCUUAAUUCCAAUUACGACGAGUCAUAAUUGCAUUAUAGAUAUCUGGAAUUACAAUUGUGACUAUCCGAAAUUAUAUUUAUGGAUAGUCAAAACAAAAUUUUAAAUGUUUAAACGGCUUGCCAUAUGUAAUGACGCUCUGCGCCACUAGAGGGAGGAGUAUAGUAGGGGCGAAUACCAAUCUACAGUGAGCAUCCCUAUGCCCUACUCACUCUGAAGAGAACAGCAUCUGAUGCGAGGACUCUGGACGGGUGGUGUUUGCAGUUUGAAUCGUUUGGGAAGGGAGCAAUCACAGACAACGUCGUUUUCAUAAUUUGCUGGCGUCCCCUUCCCACAGUAUCCUUUAAGGACGCAAAAACGCCGUUUGACAUCCCCCGAAACUAAGAUGAGAGCAGGAAAAAAGUUACGCAAUCAUUGGGCUAUUUAUACGGCUGCAUGUUUUUGUGGUAAGUGCAAAACAUAUUCUUCAUGCAAUCAUGUAGUCCUAUAAAAAUGAGCUGCUAUUUUGGGUUGAUUCUUUCUUAUGGGAUUUCAGCUCCGGAUCGUUAUAUUUCGAGAAAAAAAGUGGCAUACUGUAUGUGAUAUUGAAGGACAAAAUUCAGCAUUAUAAUUGUAUAGGCCUAUGUGCAGGGAAUCUGAUGAGCAUCUGAACGCAUCGAGCUAAAUAACACGCUAAUAAUUUUCCUCCCAGAGCCCCCAAUAACGCGUAAGAAGACUGCGAUACCGGAGAACGAAAUACAAUAUACAUAACGUUACACCUUAUGAUGCAUAGGCCUACUUUAUAAUAAAGGUAUGCAGUCACCCGCCGUGCAUUUCAUGGGAGUAAAGCGCUGUGAUUUAGCGAAUUGCGUUCAGAUAUUUUUCUACAAAGCCAAUUUUAAUGCACAGAUUUAGCGAUUACUCUGUGUUAACACCAAUAAAAAACGAUGCUUAUAAACCACUGGUUGUUGAUUCUGGUGCAUAAACGCGAAAGAAUGACAUGCGUGCUAUUGUCAUUAUGUACAGAAAUAACGGUGCUGUUCCCAUUAUUUGUGAAUUCGACAAAGCUGAAAAACAAUGUACUACACAUCUGUAGGCCUAUCCAAAUUAUGGUACAGUAUUAAAUAGUAAAAAAGAGAGAAAUACUGACCAAACACAGCAUAGAUUCUAAGGCUGUAGGUCAGUUUACUGAAAACACAGAGGUGCUGUAACAACAGUGUGAUUUCAGGGUUUUUCCUAUAUUGAAAAUUUUUUGGCGGCCGCCAAAGCGAUUUUUUGUCCCGCCAAAGCCAUAUUUGAUGUGUAAUUGGGUUUUGUGAGUGAAGCAGUCUACAGACUGAGUGACAGAGAGAACGAGCACAGCGCCCCUCCCCCGCGCGCGCACUCUCCGUCUUCAGUUCUGUCUUUGCUCUCUCCCUCGCAUCAAAAUCAACUGAUCCUAAAGGUCGGGAGACCGAAUCCAUGUUUCACGUGCUGCAUUCGGAGGAUAUUUUUCCUGAAUUACCGCUGGGUGUGAAUUGCAGUCAAAAAAAAGUUGCCUCAUCUCCUCUUACAACUUGUGACAAGCAUUCCGCACAUGCAGCGGACAUAACUUUAAAUAAACGCAAAAAAAAAUCUAUCCAGUUAUGAAGUGUGUGUGUGUGUGUGUGUGUGUGUGGACAAAUCUUUCGCGAUGUCCUAACAGCCAGGAUUCCCACACAACACGUCCGCUAAAGUCCGAUUCAUUAUAAUGAAUGGUUAAAGCAGUCGGUCUGCCCGUCAGUGUCUGAAUCGGUGCAAAUCAUUACUUCUUAAAAGAAUAUACACAUCUGAAAUGAGAAAGUAAGUGUGCUUACCCCAUUUAGCAAGAGUGUUUAGUAAAAUUUAGCCUUAAUAAUCCACAGUAUGUAUAGGCCAAUGACAAUGUGUAGUAAAUUACCUAUAAAAUAAUUUUGUUUAAAGUUAGACUGGAGUGAGAUGAAACUAGAUCAAAGCACAAAGCAAGCUGUUGCUAGCUAGCUGCUAAUUUAAUUACAUUUUAUAUGGUAAAAAAAUUACACUAUUACACCUUUUAACGCUACGUUUUUAAUGCUACUUUUUAAUUGAUAUGAUUACACUAAAAUAAUUAUCAGGUCUAUCAAAAAAGGAUUUUAUCUUUCAAAACUAUGAAAGCCAGUCGUGGAAAAAUCACAGCUUUUUUUGCAAAGAGGGCAAGAAAGGAUGACAGUGAGAGUGACAGGUAAUAUCUGUGUCUGAUAAUUGCAUAAUUUGUAAAUAGAUAAAUUGUGAUACCUUUGACAUUUCAAAUAUACUUUGGUAUCGAUGAUGUUUACAUGUAAAAUAAGUUGUAAUCGCUUUCUUUUACUAUCUAGCCUGACAGUGAUCGUUUUUUUCAUGAAUAAAUAGGAUAAGAAAAAAAAAUCACAAACUGUUUCUUUGUAUUUAUUUUAAAUUUAACAUUUAUUGUCAAUUUUGGGCUUGCGGAUCAUGUGGGUACUAGGGUACUCUUUGCUGUGUGUGGAUGACCAUGUCGGUCAGCCACCACCGAAGACCAGUUUUGACCCAGGAAAAACCCUGGAUUUUCAAAUUAUUUUUUUCUUUUAGUUCUUUUUAUCUUUAUUUUAUCUUUUAAACUAUGUUUCCAACACUCUUUGACAGAUGAGAGGACGUGAAGAGACAGAAG